GGAGGCGCCCCCUGUACUGUGGGGCAGGCACUUGCCUGGGUGGCUAGAGCCCUGAUUUCGGGCUGCCUGGGUCCCAGGCCUGUGCGUGACCUUGGGGCAGCU
rnacentral:pre_miRNA from 22 species